GCGGGGGAGGCGGCGGGUCCGGCUGUCAGCGCGGCCGGCUCCCUCCCGGCCGCUCGCACACCUCCCGAAGUUUGGCACAACUUGUCACGCCCCCCCUUCCCUCCUCCUCCUCCUCCUCCUCCUCCUCCUCCUCCUGCCGCCGGGGCUGGGGGCGGGCGGGGGCGGGCCGGCUGCGGUGCCCGCGCCUGUGUGGCGGGGGAGCCGCUGCUCCGCGCCCUGCCCAGGCAUGGCUCAGCCCUCGGGAUCCCGGCGGAGCCGGCGGACAGGAAGCUUUAAAUUAUUCCUUCCUCUUGCUGAUGACCAGGUUCCUGUUUGAUCCUGUUUACAAGCUUCCGAAGAUUGAAAAUAACCCCAACUCCUCUGCAUUGGCUAAUUCAGAGACAGCAGGUGUGUGUAAGCAGCCCCUUCGAAAGAGGACCAAGUGUACUUUGUGA
rnacentral:lncRNA from 1 species